rnacentral:rRNA from 1 species
GCGGACGGGUGAGUAACACGUGGGUAACCUACCCAUCAGAGGGGGAUAACACUUGGAAACAGGUGCUAAUACCGCAUAACAGUUUAUGCCGCAUGGCAUAAGAGUGAAAGGCGCUUUCGGGUGUCGCUGAUGGAUGGACCCGCGGUGCAUUAGCUAGUUGGUGAGGUAACGGCUCACCAAGGCCACGAUGCAUAGCCGACCUGAGAGGGUGAUCGGCCACACUGGGACUGAGACACGGCCCAGACUCCUACGGGAGGCAGCAGUAGGGAAUCUUCGGCAAUGGACGAAAGUCUGACCGAGCAACGCCGCGUGAGUGAAGAAGGUUUUCGGAUCGUAAAACUCUGUUGUUAGAGAAGAACAAGGACGUUAGUAACUGAACGUCCCCUGACGGUAUCUAACCAGAAAGCCACGGCUAACUACGUGCCAGCAGCCGCGGUAAUACGUAGGUGGCAA